ensembl:lncRNA
UGUGAUUAAUCGUUUGACAGCAUUAAAUAUUUUAUAACUAAUUCAAUUGUCUGAAAGUCUCUAGACUUUAUAAAUUGUCAAUACUUUGCUUUAAAAAUAUCCUAGGAGUGUUCAUUUGUCAGUCAUUAUUCUAUGUUAUAGGAAAGGGACUUUUCUAUCAAUAUAUGUGUAUGGGUAAAUGACAAUAAUGUCUGGGUGCUUGUCUGAUCUGGUUGAGAUUAAAUAAAACGGUAUAUCUUUCCACUCUUUUAUGUAUCACUUUUGCUAUAACGUCUUCAAAUAGAUGUCGAAGCUGUUAUUGUUGGAAUAUGUGUAAUCAACAUGAACAGUGGUGCAGAGAACACACUGCAGGAGUAGACGUGAAGCGCACUUUUACUUUCACUUUCACUGUCGUUGUUCAGGUGAUUUAUGAGAAAUCGUCUGAUUUCAGAUCGUUCGUCUAACCGGGUAAACGAGAUGAUGACUUGAGUGUUUUAAUAUUUUCGGACAUAUUAGCGUUUAUUUUAACUGCUAUAGUGAAAGUAUCUAUUUUUUCUCCAUCGUAUCCUUCUGCAGCCGGGCGUUUCGACCGCUGAGGUUUUGUCUGCAGGAUGUUUACUCACAAAAAGACUUCUGUUUUUUUCUGUUCACUCAUAAAAAGUUCUGCUGAACAGAAAUGCUCUUUAACUACCAUUUAAACGCAGUUCGGCGCUGCUUUUAACGGAAGAAAAAUCAUUUUUUUGCGCUAGGAUGAUUUCCCUUAUAAGUUCUGCGAUGGAGUUCACAGACGAGGAGAAAAUAUGGCUGCAAACAGUGUCUGCUGAAAUACCUGAAGGAAAUGAACUCACUCCAAAUGAGAAGCAAUUACAGGAGAAAGCAAAGCCAGAGACUGCAUUUCAGGCCCAGCUCUUCCAAGCUAUGGCCUCCAUACGAUUUGGACAGAAUGAUCCAAUGACCUCAACAAUAGAGGUGAAAAUCUUUGUCCAUCAGAGAAGUAGCGUCUCAUCACAAUGUGGAUAAUCACCAAAUGCCAAGAUGAUGACACGUUCACCUUUUCUUUUUGGUAAUAUACCUGUAUAUUAAGAAUAAACUAACCUAAAACAAAAUCAGCUGUACAUAACUGUGAUGUCAAGUUACUUUGGCACUUUUUAAUUAGUCACAAGAAUACAAUUUCAUAUUUUUCAUGAUCUCACCUGGGUAUUCUUACCCUAUUAAUGAUUUAUUGGUAGAUGUCAGGCUUAGAUCAUAGCUACACCAGGGAAUGUGACAGCAUACAGUUUUAUUGACCUCAGCUCAUCAUGACAUGUUUCCUCAGUUAAGCACAAAUGGAUGCAUCAUUAUGCUAUAUGCAAAGUUGAGAAACUUUGAUAAAAUAAUGCUAUUGCUGUUUGCAUGCUCUUUUAUUGUUGUAUGAUCUAUGAAAUCACAAGAAAAAACAAGUUUUUGUUUUUUAAAUGUCAUUGGUGCUCUUUUUCCCAAAAGCAUGCUAAUGCUAAUGCUUUUGAAAUGUUGAUAAGUGAAGGUCCUUCAAAAACUCAGUAUGCAUUACUUUUAUCAUGCUCGCAGGGAUGAUAACAUCUCUACCUCAUUCAAAAUGCAAUAACAAACAGCACAGUGCAUGUUUUCUUUUGCACACAUGUAUAAUAAAUUGGACCAUGAUAUUUGGACAACAGCAGAGUUCUAAUUUUCAGAUGUUUGUUUCAAUACUGUUUCCUUAUAUGAUUUCUAUCCAUGGUCCAACACAAAUGUUAUUUCCAAAAAAUGUAUGUGCAUUCCACUCUGUUUUCACAUUUAGCCUAACGUUUUAAAAAGAUUUGACUGUACUUAAAAUGAAUAAAAAUGAAAACGAAUCAGUGGAGUGUGUUCUUAUAUAUUUUUAUGCAGUAAUUUGUAAAAU